rnacentral:rRNA from 1 species
CAGCAGCCGCGGGAACACCAGCACCUCGAGUGGUCAGGAGGUUUAUUGGGCCUAAAGCAUCCGUAGCCGGUUGCAUAAGUUUUCGGUUAAAUCUAUGCGUUUAACGUAUAGGCCGCCGAAAAUACUGUGCAGCUAGGGAGUGGGAGAGGUACACGGUACUCGAUAGGAAGGGGUAAAAUCCUUUGAUCUAUUGAUGACCACCUGUGGCGAAGGCGGUGUACCAGAACACGUUCGACGGUGAGGGAUGAAAGCUGGGGGAGCAAACCGGAUUAGAUACCCCCGUAGUCCCUGUCUCUUAUAC